UUGCUUGUUUUGGCAGCACAUAUACUAAAAUUGAACAAUACAGAGAUUAGCUUGGCCCCUGAGCAAAGAUGACACACAAAUUCGUGAAGUGUUCCAUAUUUUU